rnacentral:lncRNA from 1 species
AAGAACUUUAGAAUGUUCUAUGGAGGAGGAUGGUAUACUGCAGAUUCAAUUGAGAUGCUUCACAAGUAAGUUCACUAGAAUAUUAUAUUAUGUUUCUAGUCUUUGAGAGUUGAUACAUUUUCCUCACACGUGAAAAAUAGUUCUCCCUCCCACUGUAAUUUUAAUUUUUGGUUUGGUAUGUGUCACAUAUAUUUGAGUAAUUUUCAUUUUAUUAAGGUUUUAUUGAAUUUGGAUUACAUUGAAGUGUCAUUCUGUUUCUUUUUUCCCCAGCCUUUGAAGGGUACAAAUUUUUGGUUUCAUUUUUCUUUUUGCAUUUGUGUCAUUUCUGUUCAACCCAAGAAAAAGGUAAAGUUUAUGUUUAUCAUUCUUUGUUUCAAAGUUUUUGUAAUUUUACUUUCUAACUUUGUAAGAUGAAUAUUUAAAAGAGUAUAGAUUGUGGCAUUGGCUGAGAUUUAAUUAUGUUCUUUAAGAAUGUGUAAGUUAAUUCUUUUUUAUUUAUUUUAAACCUUUGAUUUUAUCAGAUUAUACAUUUAUUUGGUGUCUAAAAAUCAAUCAUGAAAGCAAACAAAGGAUUCUUGAUUACAAAUUUUACUAAGCCACAAAAAAAAAUCAUAUUAACAUCUAUUCAUCUUAAAAGCAACACUCAAAUUCCUAUACUGGUUCUUUUUUUAAAACUAAAAACAAAAACUGAUUCUUCUAUAUUUAUUAUUGUGCCUAUGCUAGGAAAAUAACAUGUCAAAGCCAUGGAAGAAUCUGUGUUCUUAGCCUUGUUUCAAUCUUUGUGUUCUUAGCCUUGUUUCUCCGUCGGAAUUGGUGAUCUUCUCUUUCGUUAAGGCAUUGGUAAGUAACAAAAACUUGCUAUUGUUUUCGUCCAUUUCGUAUUUUCAUUCACCUUCUUCUCUGUCAAGUCAAAUACCCUUUUCUCUGAGUAUAUCCACUUUUUUUUUUUGUUACUUGUGCACUCUAUUCAUUCUACUUGGCUUUGCACGUUCUGAUGGUAUUCAAAUUUGUUUAUUUCAGAUUUGAGAGAUUUCGCUCUGCUGUACCGUAGAGGCAUAUGUUGAUCUAUACUUAUUUCAGUAGUUGAUUUUCUG